UCAGGUGUCAGAGAACAGUUCCUGGUCUUCAAAGGUGAAUGAGCAAAGUUUCCAGCACUUACGUGACAGACAAGUGGUAAUUAAGUGUUUCCAUGCCUGGAGGGACCACAUCACCUGCAAGAGGGCUGCAGCAAGGCAGCAGCAGCCUCAAAAGGCCCUUGGUGCUUCGGAGGUAGCCCAGCAGAGACAUGCCUCAGCAAUUUUAGCUGCCAGCUUCCACAAGUGGAAGAAAGCUGUGGCAAAACAGAGCCAAAAACAAGCUGCACAGUCUGAGUCAUAUUCUUAUACCCAAAGUUCAUCAGUGGAUUUUUCUGGAAUAGGAAGAUUAGCAACUAUGACAACCUCAGCUCAGCACCAGCUUACAGAAGGAUACAUGAAGGAAGCUGAGCAGGCUUGUAGGUGGAGAGCGAACUGUGGACACAGCUUCAUCGCAGGCAGAGAGGAGAUGAGUUCCGCUGGAGAGCUCAAGCGAUAAGAGAUGUGAGACGCCUAGCUGCUUUCAGACUGUGGCGCCUUCAGAAGGAGCUGCUGAGCAGUGAGGAAGCCAGGCUGCUGGAAGCAUGUGCCCUGCUGGAAAAGAAGCGGCUACAAAACAUUUUCCAUGUGUGGCAGUCCCGAUACUCAGAAAAGGAAAAGAUUUUAGGGCUGACAGUCCAGAUCCAAAGAAACUUGGUCUCCCGGUGCUUCAGUGCAUGGAAAGAGGCUGUUGAGCUGAAGGCAUAUUACAAGAGCAGCCUGAUGCAUCUCAGAGUAGAAUCAAUGAGGAAAUACUUCCAGCAGUGGUUUCGGAUGCUGCAGGUCAGAGAAAGCAAUAAGCAGGCAAUGGUGAACCUCCUCUUCCUGAGAUGGAGGCAGCAUUAUGCUGUAAGCUCAGUAUCUUACACGACUGCAACAGAAGGAGAUGACAGGCAGUCACGAUGGACUGUAGUGACACAGGUUCCUGAGAAAACAGGCUACUCUCUUGAUGACUUCUGCCUAAAGAUGAAACUCCAGAGAGUGUAUCUGUUGUGGAAAGAGAGGCUGUACGAGCACUGCAGAGCUGAUUCUUUCUCUCAGGCUUUGGAGGAGUGUAGACUCAGAAAAGCUCUGAAAUUAUGGCACCAGAAGUAUCUCAUGCUAAUGAUGAACAAACAAAGUCCUCAGCACUCUCACAGGGCUGUCUAUGAGGAACCUCUUGCUGUGCUUUUUUGUGAGGAACGCUCAACAUCUUCUGGCUUCCACAGCAGUGCUCCAACUACUCUUGCCUCUCAAAGCUCACUGGAAAAGGAAUAUAGUUUUAGUGACAGCAGCCAGCAGAGCUGCUCCUCUGUUCUGACUGCUGAAGAUGUGACAUACCUGCCCUAUUACAGUUCUUUCCUGCAACUACACCAAAGUGCAGAGCUGCCAGCUGAGCUGGGUGGAGAGCUGUGCUUGCAGGCUUCCUUUCCUCCAUGGAGAACUGGAUCUGGGACUGCAGCUCCGAGAAGGAGGUGGAGACUUCCUGGCACCAAGUGGAGAAAUGCUGCCUGCAGAAGUACUUUAUCUUCUGGUCCACUCGAACUCAGCAACUCACAAAAGCCCAGCAGUACUGCAGGCUUCUUCAGCUGUCUCGAGCCUUUCUCAGAUGGCACCGCUGGGCUGCAGAGAACAAGAACCAGGAAGUAGUAGCAGCCCUUAAAUACCAAUUUAAUUGCUGCCGGAUGGCCUUCAGCUUGUGGAAGAAGAGGCUGGCCCAGAAAGUGGAAGCUGACCAGAGAUUUAGGUGUCACCUCCACCAGAUGACUGCUGGUGCUCUUCUGCAUUGGCAUUCCUACUGUCAAAGGAAGUGUAACAUGAAGGAGCUGCAGCAGAGAUGGGCUCAGCAUAGCUGCCAGAAGAAGAAGAGAUUGAUCCUGCAGACGUGGCGCUGCCAAACAAGGCAGCUGAAAAAUGCUGCUUUAUUCUGGGAGCGUCUCCUCCUGCACAGGUGCAUAGUCACCUGGGCCCAGGUCACUGCCUGCAGACUGAGGCAGCAAGAAGCCCUCUGUUAUUUUAGAAGGGUCAGAGAGCACCAUCUUCUAGAAGUGAGUUUUGCAGAAUGGAGAGUGAAGUUCUUGACAGCUAAACAGCAGUUGCUGAGAGAGGAGAAAAACCACAAGUGGCAUGAGUGUACUCAAGCUAAAGCCUGCCAGCGCUGGCGAUUGGCCUCAAGGGGACAGCAAGCCCUACACUUGGGGUCUGUGGCCACUGUGAAACAGGCCUGCAACUACUGGACAAAAGCAGCUGCCUUUUCCCAGUGCUCACGGCAAUGCAGUACCCUGAUAGGUGCUAGGAAGAGCAAGAAGAUGUCUUUGUCUUUGUCCAUAAUGCUGUUCACCGCUGGCUGGUGAUCUACAGAAGCCAAAGGAGGACUGAAAGGCUGCUGCUUCCUCAACAACUAGAGAGACAUGAUUUGGUAGGACCCAUCCCUGUGCAUGCGAGAAUCCAGGAGAACAAAGCAGAGGUGGACUCUGAUGAGCGGAAUGAGAAUUGGCUUGGGAGGAAAUACCUGAGGUGGUGGCAUCACACAGUGACUCUGCGCCGGUGCCAGCGUGCCAAGAGGCUGCGCAGUCUGGCAAGGGGGUGGCAGCAAUGGAAAGAAGCCAGCAGGGUGGUGAUGCUGGCACAGGUGUUGGACCAGCAGCGGCUGAUAGAAAAGGCCUGGAGAGCAUGGAGACGACGAUAUUUACAAAGCUGUGUAGUGCAGAGGUUUUUGGAGGUCGAAGCCAGGAGCCUACUGUCUGAGGCAUUUAGAAGAUGGCGUCAGCUCACAGCAUUCCAACUCAAGGACAGAGGACACUGCUGAAUGGUGAGGCCUGCCUGCAGCUGCUCAUUUCAGGAGUGGAGGAUACAGCUGGCUGUCACAACAAAGAGCUGGUUUCUUGCAAUCAAGAAAGCAGUGCAUGAUCUACCUGUGUGAUUAAAAACAGUGCUGCAGGCCCAAAGCAUGGUGAUAGCCAAAGGACAACCAGGAAGAGGUGGUACCUAGAGAAAAGUCUUAUUUAAAGCACUGAUAUUCUGCCUCCCUACUGCCACAAACUUGGGAACUUACUCAAUUGUUUUUGUUGUGAGGUUGCAUUCCCUUUUCUGCUAGAGCCUGAUUUUGUUGGAGUUCUGAUUAAAAGUCAAAAAAUACU
rnacentral:lncRNA from 7 species